rnacentral:RNase_P_RNA from 1 species
GCGGAUGGCUGGAUGGCCGCGUGCAGCGAAAGCUGUGCGAGGAAAGUCCGGACUCCAUGAAGAUAGGGUGCCGGGUAACGCCCGGCCGGGGUAACCCGAGGGAAAGCGCCACAGAGAUGAGACUGCCUUUGGGUGUCAGGUCCGCCUGAAAAUCCUGAGGUAACGGUGAAAAGGUGGGGUAAGAGCCCACCGGGGGGCUGGCAACAGGCCCCGCACGGCAAGCCCCACCCGGAGCAAUGCCAAAUAGGGACCUCGCGGCGCUCGCGCCACGGUUUCUUCAGCCCAGAGGUCCGGGUCGGCAGCUUGAUCCUGCGAGCAAUCGUAGGGCCAGAUGAAUGGUCAUCCACAGGGGCUUUGGCCUCUUGGACAGAAUCCGGCUUACAGGCCAUCCGCGCAU